UACGACUACAUAUCAGGCAUAUCAAUAAGCGGAGGAAAAGAAACUAACUAGGAUUCCCUCAGUAACGGCGAGUGAAGCGGGAAGAGCUCAAAUUUGAAAUCUUCAAGGUUUUACCUUGACGAAUUGUAGUUUAAAGAAGUGUUUUCUGUUGGAGUUUUGGUAAAAGUUCUUUGGAAUAGGACAUCAUAGAGGGUGAGAAUCCCGUAUUUGACCAUUAUUUCCAGCUUUGUGAUACACUUUCAAAGAGUCGGAUUGUUUGGGAAUGCAGUCCAAAAUGGGUGGUAAAUUUCAUCUAAAGCUAAAUAUUAGGCGAGAGACCGAUAGCUAACAAGUACCGUGAGGGAAAGAUGAAAAGAACUUUGAAAAGAGAGUUAAACAGUACGUGAAAUUGUCAAAAGGGAAGCGUUUGACACCAGUGUUGUUUCUACGAAAAUCAAUUUAUGAUGGCUUGAUGCUAAGCUUUAAGACUUUAUCCGCUUGUUGUUUAGUUUUCUUGUCUUUGUGAAUGCACUUUUCGUGGAACAAGUCAACAUCAAUUUCUUUUGCUGUAAAAGGGUAAGAGGAAGGUGGCUUCGGCUUCGGUUGAAGUGUUUAUAGCCUUUUAUCUCUGCAGUCGGAGAGAUUGAGGUCUGCCAGCGUAGACUCUUCGGGGUUAGAUACGUCGGUGCUAAGCUAUAGCUUUUCAUAGACAACUUGUUGACUAUGUUUAGUCAUGUGGCUUACCCGCUGGCGCUAUUUUACCUACGCUUAGGAUGUUGACUGAUAUGUAGUCGUA
rnacentral:rRNA from 1 species